AAAUGCAGUCAUUGAUUCCUGCCCAGAUCCUCUGGAGAAGAGGAAAUGGGUCCUUUCUGAUCUUUGACACACAAAAGCACAUCGCCUGAUGAUGGCUAUUCCACGGAAAAAGCAAAAUCUAAACAAACAGCAUCAUUUUGCUCUAGCCUACAUACAAUCUGCCUGUUGAUCCAGAUGUAGACCUCUCAGCUACUUCUCCAGAACCAUAUCUGCCUGUGUGCCACCAUGCUUCCCGCUAAGAUGACAAUGGACUAAACCUCUAAAACUUGGCUGGUGGAAGUAGAAGCAGACACCCACAACUAAUCACUGGACUGAACUGGAAUCCAGAUGCAGAG
rnacentral:lncRNA from 1 species